rnacentral:rRNA from 1 species
AUUGAACGCUGGCGGCAUGCUUUACACAUGCAAGUCGAACGGUAACAGGCCUUCGGGUGCUGACGAGUGGCGAACGGGUGAGUAAAGCAUCGGAACGUACCCAGAGGUGGGGGAUAACGCAGCGAAAGCUGUGCUAAUACCGCAUGUGAUCUGAGGAUGAAAGCGGGGGACCUUCGGGCCUCGCGCCUUUGGAGCGGCCGAUGUCGGAUUAGCUAGUUGGUGGGGUAAAGGCCUACCAAGGCGACGAUCCGUAGCUGGUCUAAGAGGACGACCAGCCACACUGGGACUGAGACACGGCCCAGACUCCUACGGGAGGCAGCAGUGGGGAAUUUUGGACAUUGGGCGCAAGCUGAUCCAGCAAUGCCGCGUGCGGGAAGAAGGCCUUCGGGUUGUAAACCGCUUUUGGCAGGAACGAAAAGCUCUGGGCGAAUACCCUGGGGUGAUGACGGUACCUGCAGAAUAAGCACCGGCUAACUACGUG